AUGCAUGCAACCGCUGGCGGGGCAGACUGGAACGCCGAGGAGCAUGUCUACUUAUUCAAUGACAUUCAUAUACCAUACGACGUGUCAAAAAGCCGACUGCUACAUGUCCCUUUGCACCAACCAUUUCAUUUCUCUUUGUACACAUUCAACAUGGAGAACGAGAAGAUUCAAAUCUUGGAUCCCUUUAGGGAUAUAAGCAAAGGAGGGAAGGACAUAGAAGCUCGACACUCUAAGACGAAAGACCAUGUUGCUAGGGCAUUACAGGAGUGCAUGAUGUUUUCCUUUCCAGAUUGGAAACGUGAUAUUUCAAUCUGGCAGCAUGAGUUCCCCACAAAUAUUCCAGCAAUUACUAACAGGAUGGAAACUGCUUUCCAUGUACUGAGUUACAUGAAAAAUUGGGAUGCAAGAACCUUGGUCAACCCACUACCCUAUGAUUCAAGAGAGGCACGGAAGGACUUUCUCGCGAACCUCCUAUCCUUCAAGACUAACGAAGCAAUAAUCCCAGAGAGUGUCGACCGGCUGGUGAAAGCACUCAGGAGAAAUUAA
rnacentral:rRNA from 1 species